rnacentral:lncRNA from 1 species
AGACUCGUCCCUAACCCCAGCCCGGAGACUUUCACUUUGUCCCAUGCCUCCCGAGCACCCCUCCCCGCCCCGGUGGGGGCAGCUCCUGGCUCCGAGCCCCCACCUCGGGGCUCCCAGCCUGGUCCCGGGCGGCCGACCCCAGCAGCCACAGGCAUCCUACGCUGUGUGCACACAGCAUAUCACCGGGAGAGACGGCACGGAAAGAUGGCCCUGCCCUCAAGGAGCUGCAGUCUGCCCAGGAAGGCAGACAGGGGACAGAAAAGCAGGCAGAUCUGCUAGUAAGCAAACUACAGCUCCCCCGAGGAGACACACAGGCAGUGGGUAAGAGGAACAGACCCAUGGCUCCACUGAAGACACAGAGCAGCAGACGAAAAAGACAUGUCCUAAAUGUUAAAUGGUAAGGAGGGGUAGGGUGAAAAAAGGGAACAUGGAUGCCAGGCAGAAGAAAUAAAAGCCUUUCCAAACAUUUGUAUUACAUGAUGCUGGCUCUCACUGAUAAACCACUGGAUGAGAACUGUACUUCAUCCAUAUCAUCCUGUUGGUUGCAGAUCCCGUCACCCCAUAUCUAAAACAUAUUUCCUUCUGGAGC